rnacentral:rRNA from 1 species
GGAAGUAAAAGUCGUAACAAGGUUUCCGUAGGUGAACCUGCGGAAGGAUCAUUAGUGAAUAUAGGACGUCCAACUUAACUUGGAGUCCGAACUCUCACUUUCUAACCCUGUGCAUUUGUUUGGGAUAGUAACUCUCGCAAGAGGGCGAACUCCUAUUCACUUAUAAACACAAAGUCUAUGAAUGUAUUAAAUUUUAUAACAAAAUAAAACUUUCAACAACGGAUCUCUUGGCUCUCGCAUCGAUGAAGAACGCAGCGAAAUGCGAUAAGUAAUGUGAAUUGCAGAAUUCAGUGAAUCAUCGAAUCUUUGAACGCACCUUGCGCUCCAUGGUAUUCCGUGGAGCAUGCCUGUUUGAGUGUCAUGAAUACUUCAACCCUCCUCUUUCUUAAUGAUUGAAGAGGUGUUUGGUUUCUGAGCGCUGCUGGCCUUUAGGGUCUAGCUCGUUCGUAAUGCAUUAGCAUCCGCAAUCGAACUUCGGAUUGACUUGGCGUAAUAGACUAUUCGCUGAGGAAUUCUAGUCUUCGGACUAGAGCCGGGUUGGGUUAAAGGAAGCUUCUAAUCAGAAUGUCUACAUUUUAAGAUUAGAUCUCAAAUCACGGUAGGACUACCCGCUGCAACUUACACGCAUAUCAAUAAGCGGAGG